ACGGGAACCCGCACAAGCGGUGGAGUAUGUUGUUUAAUUCGAAGAUACACGAAGAACCUUACCAGGUCUUGACAUACCAUUGACAGGCGCAGAGAUGUGCUCUCCUUCGGGCAAUGGAUACAGGUGGUGCAUGGUUGUCGUCAGCUCGUGCCGUGAGGUGUUGGGUUAAGUCCCGCAACGAGCGCAACCCUUAUUGCUAGUUACCAUCAUUAAGUUGGGGACUCUAGCGAGACUGCCAGUGAUAAACUGGAGGAAGGUGGGGAUGACGUCAAAUCAUCAUGCCCCUUAUGACCUGGGCUACAAACGUGAUACAAUGGCUGGAACAGAGGGCAGCGAAGCAGUGAUGUGAAGCGAAACCCAAAAAUACAGUCUCAGUUCGGAUUGAAGUCUGCAACUCGACUUCAUGAAGUUGGAAUCGCUAGUAAUCGCGGAUCAGAACGCCGCGGUGAAUACGUUCUCGGGGUUU
rnacentral:rRNA from 1 species